GUCAAACUAAUUAAACAGUUAUUCUUUACCUAAAAAGGAAAUUAGUAAGGCGAGAACUGAAGAGAGACCGAAAAAAGAAAAGUCCAGCAACUUCCUUCAUCUUUUCUAAACAGUAGAAAGGUCAUGUCCAUACAUCAGAUCUGCACAAAUCUUUGGUUUCAACGCUCAUUGGUGCUUGAAAAUUUGCAAUAUUUUCCACACAAGUUCAGGACCAAUGAGAACUUUCAAAGAGACGACUCCAAAUUCCUGGUUGAGGUCAUUGUUUAUGAGAAGUGAAAGAGGUUUCGCCCAUGUCCUGCAUGCUUUCCCAAUUUUUUUUUCUUCCUCCUUCUCUCUGUCUCCUCCUGUCUUAAAGCUGCACUGCCGGAUCACAUUUGCAGCUCUCAGUCAGAGCCAGCACACGCUCACAGAGACGGACGCUCAUCUGAUCAUCUGUGCACUUCAGAGCCCCUCACAACCCCAAACUAAUAUUACCGGUGCAACAAAAAUGGUGAGCAAUACGGUAGCUAUCCAGCUGUAGGUUUGAGCCAGAUGCCAGCUCUGAUGAGGAAAACAACCAUGUAUAUGGAUCUAGUCGUCUACAGGUGGAUGCAUCAGAAUGGAGCGGAGCAAGGAGCCGGUUGCCCUCUGACUGUAGCACCUACUGCAUCUACAAGCUUUUUCCAACAGCAUUUUUUCAUCUGCUCCUGAUUCACAACAAUUUGAAUAAUGAAAUGCCCAGUAAGGCAAUUUUAAUCUUAAUUUUCUUCAUAUGUGUCCUCCAUCAUCAGAAAAAUGCUACAGAAACAUGUUAAAAACACCAAAACACACGAUUCUCAUUGGAGAGGGUCUUUAAAAACCUUUACGGAAGCAACUACUGCAGCUACAUUCUGAUCAUCUUGGUGAAACCAAGAAGUCGUGUUGUUAAUUCUUCUAAGGAGCUAAAAACGCUCUCUGGUAAAUUUUAUCGGUUUCCAAGACAAUAACUCAGUUGUGUGCUGCUCUACUACACUCCUGUGGACCUACUUGGCUUACCACAGUGUGAGAUUUCCUGCUAUCGAGGACUCACUACAACCUCUCACAAACUUCCCAAAAUAGGUCAAUACAGAGAAUUCAAAGAGGCAAAACAGGUGCAAAGACACACUUAGAUUCACUUCAGACUUAGAUUUUGAGCUUUUGUAUUCCAACUGCAAACCAGUGAAGAAAAAUAUUUGUUAAAAAAAUCAAAGUCUCCUUUAAGACUCAAGUCUUAGAAAUGUGUAUGAAUCACCACCUUUUAAUUAAAAAAUGUGUGCACAUAUUUUUUUAUCAAACUGUAAUUCGUCAUGAUGAAUUUAUCAAGUCUAUUUUUCUAUUCUGUAAUCUGUGGUGUCACCAACAGCACCAAGACAGCUGCUGUAUUUGGCAAUAAAUCCCGUCUGGGACGUGUUUUUGCAAAGAAAAGUCUAACCCCUUUGCAUGUUAUUGACUGGAAUGAAGCAGAGAGGCAGACAGGGUGUGGCCCAUGCAGAGCUGAAGUUGAUGGAUUGAAUGCAGCAGUGCUCUGAACUUGAGACCUAAAUAGGUAAAGCUGCUUGUUUGUACUCUCCAGCCAAAGAAAAACUGAGCUUUUUGUUUUUACAUUUUACAGUUUUCUUUUUUAUUUGCCUUUAAAGAAAUAUUUCUGAUGAAGCAGUCUAUGCUCUGACUGGAAAAUGAGGACAUAACUGUGCACUCAAGUGCCACCCCUUGUCCCGCUGAGGACAGGAUAAAGUGAAACAACAUCUGCUGCCCUUUGCUGCCAUUUGAGUGUAUGAUUAAAAGACCAGCAUGGCUUUUUAUACGGAGAAGAAACUCACAUCCUUCAUCUUUGAAGCUCAGUUCUCCUCACAAGCAGAAAAACUAACUGUCUGAGUCGGAGAGUUGAGUCAGUUUGGAACUGUGAGAGUUGACGUGCACAGCAACCUUUAUGAAGGCCUCCAUCUAGAUUGUGUGAAUUGCACCACUCAUUUAGGAGUGCCUCUGCGUGAUUUCUCCCUUCUAGCGUUUGUCAACACCAAAGCAACCUGGCUGUGUCUGGCCUUUUUAGCCAGAUCCUGACCUUAUGUCCAAACUGUGGCGCAGCUUUGUGUGUGGGUGUGCUUGAUGAGUCAUUGUUGCCUCACAGAGAUACUAUGGCUUCAGCCUUUCUGCCCACUAACCAGAUUUGGAGGAGAGACACAGGCUAAAAGGUUAUGCCGACAAAACAAGACUGCUGACUGAUGGAUGAGGCCUUUUGUUGCUAGGUAUUAAUGAUGUUUAUUCUCAUCAUCCUCAGUUAUCUGAUCUCAUGUUGUCACAUAGUAAUACAUUUUUAAAAAAUUAAAUCCGGAGAUACAAUUAUUUUGUUUUUGUGCUUCUAAUUCUAUUCAGAUUUUUUCUGUAAUAAAAAUGCAGUUCUUGAUAUUAAUUAUUGAAAGUAGCAUUAUAACUGUAUAUUAGUCUGCUGUGCAUGUGAAUAUUGUAUUGUAUAUCAGGACUUCUGGCCCACUUGAGUUACAAAUUUGCUAUAAGAAUUUUUAUAGAAGUAUCGUAUUUUUUGUUUUUAUAUAUUUGUGCAUAAAUCAAAAAACCUAAUUUAUUUUCUGUGUUUU
rnacentral:lncRNA from 1 species